rnacentral:tRNA from 1 species
ACCUUAGUAGUGCAAUCGGUAGCACAUCAGAUUGGACAUCUAUGACUUGCGGGUUCAAGCACCGCCUGAGGUU